CGGAAAUUCCAACAGUUCUACUAUAACCACAGCUGCAGCUGAAGAUUGAAAUGAAAGGUUGUUUAUCGCUUGUUCUUGAAAUUCAUUUCACUGUUUAUAAGCAAUAAUAACGGUUUAAUCAUUAAUUUGUGCAGCUUAUAAAGCAACUAUUUUCAGUGGAUAAUUGCAAAACACAUUUCAUAUCUGGAAUUAUAUUUGUUUUGACCAUGUGAUCGUUGAACUUUUAAUUUCUUCCAAUUAAUCGAAUUUAUAUUCUUCUAACUUCUUAGCUAGUGAGUUUUAUAGCAACUGAGAGGUAUCCAGACAUUUUUUAUUACUGCAUCUUUUUCUUACAACCACCAUUACUUUAAGCCUCAAUGAAGUUGUGGAGAUAAAUUCUUCAGAAUUUCCGUUUGCUCAAAGAACAAGGAUGUUAUUAAGAACAUUCUGAAAGAGGACUUUAAGUUGUUUCUGAAACAAGCAAUACUUUACAAGAGGAAGAAGGAUUCAAAUGCAUUUGACUACAAACAGACUACGACAACUUUAAAAUAAAAGAAGUGCGUGCAGAAUGUAAAAGUAUUACAGGAUGCCAUCGGGACAAGAAGAAGCAUUCUUGCAACGAAAUACUUCGGAACAACAAAAUACAAACCUGCACACCAUAAAAGAACAAGUUAGUCACUUUUUAAUGUCUUAGACUUAUCACCUUUUAGUUUAUUAAUGAAGAUACACCCAUCAUAGUAUAAUAUUGUCACACAUAUAUAUUUAUUUAGUCAUAAUUGAAGAAUUUAACUUUUAACUCAGAGAUAAAUAAAUAGAAAUG